rnacentral:rRNA from 1 species
GACGAACGCUGGCGGCGUGCUUAACACAUGCAAGUCGAACGGUAAGGCCCUUCGGGGUACACGAGUGGCGAACGGGUGAGUAACACGUGGGUGAUCUGCCCUGCACUUCGGGAUAAGCCUGGGAAACUGGGUCUAAUACCGGAUAGGACCAUUGCCUGCAUGGGUGGUGGUGGAAAGCUUUUGCGGUGUGGGAUGGGCCCGCGGCCUAUCAGCUUGUUGGUGGGGUGAUGGCCUACCAAGGCGACGACGGGUAGCCGGCCUGAGAGGGUGACCGGCCACACUGGGACUGAGAUACGGCCCAGACUCCUACGGGAGGCAGCAGGGGGGAAUAUUGCACAAUGGGCGCAAGCCUGAUGCAGCGACGCCGCGUGAGGGAUGACGGCCUUCGGGUUGUAAACCUCUUUCAGCACCGACGAAGCGCAAGUGACGGUAGGUGCAGAAGAAGGACCGGCCAACUACGUGCCAGCAGCCGCAGUAA